UUUUUUUUUGGCUACACCAGCAGCAUGGGGAUGCUCUGGGCCAGGGAUCAAACCCCUGCCAUAUCAGUGAUGUGACCAACACAGUGACAACACCAGAUCCUUAACCUAUUGAGCUACAUGGGAACUCCAUGAUUUCACCAGCAUUUGACUUUUAACAAAUAGGAAUUUAAGUUAUUCUUGCAUAUUUGAAAACUGUCACAAGAGUUAGCUUAAUGGGGAACUUAAUAAGAACCUAAAUAAGCAAAUGAGUUCUUUAUGAAAUUACAGAGUUAUAACUAAGAAUUCCAGAGUAACAUCAGAGCUAGAAACUCUAAAAAGUACAAUAUAAAUCUCGAUGAAUAUAUGUAUAUUUAGAGACACAUUAUGACUUUUGUGAACUCUAGGGGCUUUUGCCUUUGUAAGCUUCUUCUACCAUAAAAAUAUUUUAAAUAUGUUACGAGUGCAUUGGUAUAAGAAAGAAGGAAUAUAAUCCAGAUUUAUACACUGUCAGACACUCACAAUUAUUUGCUAUAUUUUCCUUAUUACUUUUAAAAAAGUUAAAAUUAAAAUAUUUUUGCACAUCUCUGAAAGUAUUAUGGGCCAUAGACCCUGUACCUACUGGAUGUCACUUCAUUUUCUAUUAAUACCUUUUAGUCAUUAGUUUAGUAAUUUUUAUUAUUUUAAAUUUCAUCCUCAAAAUUUACUAUUUCUUGUUCUAUUAGGAAGCUGAAAUUAACCAGGAUGUUAAUAAUUUUUUCCACUGGUACUUAACUCUAUGCAAUACUCAGACAUUGUUCCACAUACUUAUUAGGUCAUUUAAGUUUUAUAACAAGCAUCAGAAGAAGUAUUAUUUUUUAGAUUUUACUGAUGUUAGUUGCCUUGCCAUAUGAUAUUAGUUUCAGAUGCACAACAUAGUAACUCAACAUUUUUAUAGGUUAUAUUCCAUAUAAAGUAAUUGCAAAAUGUUGAUUAUACUCCCUGUACAUUAUAUCUUUGUAUCUUAUUUUUUAUAUAGUAGUUUGUACCCUUUAAUCCCCUUCACCUAUCCAGACUUUUCCCCCACACUUCUUCCCAGUGGUAACCACUAGUUUGUCCUCUGUAUCUAUAAAACCUUAUGGAGGUUCCUCAAAAAGUUAAAAAUAGAACUACUGUAAAAUCCAGAAAUUUAUCUUCUGGGUAUAUAUCUGUAGAAAACAAAAACAUUAAUUUGAAAACAUCUAUCCACCCCAAUGAUCACAGUGGCAUUAUUUACAAUAGCCCAGAUAUGAAGGAGAUAUUACAUUCAUCAUUUCUCUUCUGAUUUCUGUGUUGCAUAGAACAAUUCUCCAAAACUUAGUAUUGUAAACAGCAAUUAUUUUAUGAAUAGUUCACAUUUUAUGAUUCAGGAAUUUGGUAAGGGCUCACCUGAGUAGUUCUUGCUCAGAGUCUUUCUCAUCAGAUACCAGUAAACUGGAUUUCUCACGUGCCUCUUUUAUACAGCUGGCAGUCAAUGCUAGUUAUUGUCUGGGAGAUCAGCUGGGGCUCUUGACUGGAAUGAAUACAAGUGGAUCUCUGGGUAGCUGUAUUUUGUACACAUGGGUUGGCUUCUACCAGAGCAAACAGAUAACGAGGAGAGUUCUUUGGCUUUUUCUGAUUAUGACUUGGCAGAAAAAAAAAAACAUCAUAUUUGCUGCAUUGUAUUGGUUAUUUAAAUCAUGAAGGAUAGUUAAGUCAAAAAUAAGACACAUAGACCACACUUCUCAAUGGGGGUAGUGUCAAAGAAUUUACUAAAACUUUCACGAUUCCCUCCUGAUUUUGAGAAAACUGUGAAGAAAGAGGUAAAAUACUUUCUAACACUUACCGGGGUCAGAAAUGGAGAAUAUUUGCUUUAAACUCAGGGAUAGUACUCUUAAACACUCUCUUGUGAGGCCACAGUUUAGACAGUAUUAACAUGGUCUGUGUAUGCACUCAGUGUCAGAUUGCUUUAUUUAAAAUCAUAUCCACUGUUCAUAUUUCUUUUGGAGAAUAACGUUUAUAAAAUGGAACAUUAAAAUUCGUUUGACCCAACUCAGGCAAGCUAUGGACUAUACGCCAAUUCUUGUCAGUAAUCCAUUUCUGUAAAUAAAAAUGUUAUUGGGACAAACUCCCACCCAAUUGUUUAUAUGUUGUUAUGGCUGCUUUUAUGCUUCAAUGGCAGAGUCCAGUGGUUGUAACAGAGAUCAUCUGCCCCUGAAAACCUACAAUAUUAACUUUCUGGCUUUUAAGAAAAUAUUUUCCAACCCUUAUUUAAAGGAUCACAGAUUAAAGUUUGAGGUAAGAGAAAACACAGGCAUUGAUUGGGAUAAGAGAGGUUACAUAACUAGCCCACUAUUACUAAUUGCAUCCGUGUAAGGAUUGUUACUAGUACAUAGGUAGGGUCUCUAAAAUGAACAUUAAUUUUCAUUGCAUAAUAUUGGUGCUUCUUUGUCCUAGUGAUAUCUACAUUCUAUUGCAUAAUCAAAAUCAUAGUAUUAAACACAUACAAAUGCCAAAAGCACCAUGCUGCAGCAGAAAGAAUGUAAGUUUGAAAUUAGAACGAAAGAAUUCUUCCAUUUGCCCUUAUCAAGUGUUUAUACUUGAGUGUAUACUUGAUUGUCAGAUCUAUGAUUUGGCAAAUGCCAUGUUAAAUUUUUUUGUGUUUUUAUUAAUUUAUAGUGUUGUGUUAGUUUCAAGGGUACAGAAAAGUGAUUGUUACACAUACAUGCAUAUAUUCUUUUUCGAAUUCUUUUCAUUAUAGGUUAUUACAAGAUACUGAGUAUAGUUCCCUGUGCUUUACAGUGGGUCUUUGUUGUUUACCUAAUUUACACAUAGUAGCAUGUUUAUGAUGAUUUCAAACUCCUAAUUUUUCUCUAAUCCCCCUCCCAUCAUUCUCUUUGGUAACCAUAAGUUCAUUUUCUAUGUCUGUAAGUCUAUUUCUGUUUUGUAAAUAAGUCCAUUUAUAUCUUAUAUUUUCUUUUUAGGGUUGCACAUGCNGGGUCAAAUUAGAGCUGCAGCUGCCAGCCCAUGCCACAGCCAGAGGAAGGCCAGCUCCAAGACACAUCUGCAAACUAUGUCUAAGCUUGCGGCAAUGUCAGAUCCUUAACCACUUAGCAAAGCCAGGGAUCAAACUCUCAUCCUCAUGGCUGCUACUCAGGUUCUUAACCCAGUGAGCCACAAUGGGAACCCCAUAUCAUUUUUUAGAUUCCACAUGUAAGUGAUGUCAUAUGAUAUUUGUCUAACUUAUGUUAUAGCCCAUUGUGUUUAUGUACCACAUCUUUAUCCAUUCCUCUGUUGAUGAAUGUUUAGGUUGUUUCCAUGUCUUGGCUAUUGUGCACAGUGCUGCUAAGAACAUUGGGGUGGAUGUGCCUUUUUGAAUUAGAGUUUUCUCUGGAUAUAUGCCCAGGAAUGGGAUUGCAGCAUCAUAUGGUAACUCUAUUUUUAGUUUUUGAAGGAACAUCUGUACAGUUUGCUAUAGUGACUAUACUAUAUGUCAGUUUCUAGUUAGUUUUCAGUGAUAAUUGUCACACAUAUAGAUGUAUUUUUAAUGUGUUUAUGAAACAAAUUAAUUUCCACAUUCUUUUCUCCACUGUCUUGAUUGGCCUGCCAUAAAAUUUAUUUUAAAAAAUUCUAUUGGUUAUCCUUGGGAUCUUUGCACAAAAAUAUACCUGUUCAAGUCAUUUUUUCCGUGAACUUCAGUUACAUUGAAGAAAACAUGUUUGUAAUUCAGAGGCUAUUCCUAAUUAGAGACAUUUAAAAUUACAUAUUAUAAACACUGAUGCAUAAUAGUGUCUUAAGAGGAAACUUGGUAUAUAAAUGAAGUUAUAACAAGUAUAGUCAUAAAUAGACUUGGCCAUUUGACCAAACUUCUGAAACACACAAAACUAUAUACUUAGAUUUUAUGCAUAUAAUUACCUCCUUCUGUUUAAUUCAUGAUAAAAUAUAGGUGGCAUAUUAUUACUUCAUUACAUCUAAUAUAUAGACUAGAGUGUACUUGCUAUUGUAUGUCAUUUAUUAUUUGCAAUGCCUCAAAUAAAGUGCAGAAAUGCUUGGUUUUCUUUUGUGAAGCGCCAUAGGGAAGAACUUUGUAAUGAAAACAUCUCUUGUUUUGCAAACUGUAUUUCUGAUUUUUCUCCUAUUUUGCAGUUCAUCUAAGUUAUGAAAGGCAAUUGAAUUGUCAAUCACUGUCUGAGCAUGGUUUAAGUGAUGGAUUUUUCUUCAAAUAGUAUGGCAUAUAAGAGUUUAGUUUCAAAGAAACGUUUUCUCCUUCAAAUUUUACAAAUAUUACAACAUUACAAGAGGAGCGUAAAUCAUCACAGAAAAAUAUGACAGUAUUCUUUCAAUUACAAAGAUAUAUAUGUCUUUUAAAGACACUAUUUUCAUUGGAUUGGAAAUAACAUUUCAUUACUUUCUUAUUGUAAAAGCAAUUUUAGCCAUUGCUUUCCAUUGAAAGAUUAAAACAAAAAUGAGCCUUUAAAAAAUCUGCCUUGAUAAUUAAGCAUGCAAACAGGCAUGCAUAAUUAUUUAACAAGAUAUUGCAUGUACCAGAAAGUAGAAUAUUUCAAAAUAAAUGAAGGGAAAUUUUUGAAAAUAUUAAUAUCUAUGGGGCAUUUGUAUACAUACAUGUGUAUUAUUAUGAAAUAAUAAACAAUUUUAAUUACUCUCCUUAUCCUGUAGCAUUAUGUAGAUUCAGAUUUCACUUUCUUUUCCCCCUGUUUACAUUUAUAGUGCUAUUCCUUUUGAAAUUUAAGGCUUUAUUGUUAUCUUUAAUUUUUUUUUUCUUUCAAUUUAAGUACCAAAGAGAAGCUAUGCAGAGGGAAGUCUCAUUCAGCACAUGAGUCUGUAUGGUUUACACUUAAUGGUGGGGUUUAGAAUCAUAGGACCAAUUGUUCAGCAUCAACUCUUUCUUCAGGGAACUACCUCUUUUUCCCUACUAUUAUCACUCUGGAGAGAGUUGAUAUAGUCUUACAAACCACCCCUAAACCUAAACUUUCAGUUGAAGAAGGUAAGUCAAAGAUAAACACUUGAAAAUAAGAUCAAUGGCUCUUCCCUGGGAUCUCUGUUUUUUUGUAUUUCUCCAUCAACUGAAUCUGCAACAUAUAAAAUUCAGAGGUGAUGUUUUCCAUGUUGGAGAGAAAGGACUUCUACUGGCAGAAAAUAAGGAAUCUAGCACAGAGAUGAAAUGGGAAACACACUCAAAAACAUUCAGCUAGCGAGUUCUGAUUGUUGCUAAGGCUGAGCCAUGCAUGUCUUUUUAGCAGACACUCUUGGUUCCCAUCAAAAUUCAAAAUUCUUUUUUUUUUUUUUAAACUAGUUCUAUAUGCCCAUCCAUCAGUCUGGUUGUUGAAGAUCUUUCAGUAGACCCCCCCCACCUUUAACUUAAAUUAAUUUACAUUGAGUUAUCAUUUGCAUGUCAUUCAAGGACAUUUUAAGUAUGGAAAAUCCCAUCAAAAUACUAUAAGUUGCAUCUAGAACAAUCAAGUGUGAUAAGUGCGGGGGUUAUAUUUUUAUGUAAUUAAUGAAAUGAUCUGCAUCAGCCUACUGUAGUAGACCAAAACACUAACAGCUAAAUUUGGACUAUUUCAAAUAGUGUUUAAUGGAUUCUCAUUUUAAUAUUGAUAAUGGAUACUCUCCCCCCACCAUGUAUAUCACAAUGUCUGGGAAAGCAUUCUUGCAUAUUUUAUUUUCAGAGAUGAACUAUUAAAUAAUCCUGAAUACAGCUGAACUUCACAUGAUGAUGUAAAACAUGUCUUAUUGAACAAUAUUUUAUGUACAUGGAGUCAACAUAAGAUUGGGUAAGCAAGUAUCACUGUCCUUAUCCAUUAAUAAAGAGUUGUAAAGAUUAAAUGAGAGAACACAUGUGACUGCCUGGUGCAUAUGUGCAAUUAAGAAAUGUUUGCUUAUUCGUCUUCUAUACCUUCUUCUCAUAAAAGUCACCAUUUAGAAAAUAAAAAGAAAAGCCACAGACUGUGAGCAAAUAUUUGGUAUAUAUAUUUCUAACCCAGGACUUCUAUCUGGAAUAUAUAAAUAACUCUUUGAGGAGUUCCCAUUGUGAUUCAGCGGAAACAAAUCCGACUAGGAACCAUGAGCUUGCGGGUUGGAUCCCUAGCCUUGCUCAGUGGGUUAAGGAUCCUGCGUUGCCGUGAGCUGUGGUAUAGGUUGCAGACACAGCUCGGAUAUGGAAUUGCUGUGACUGCUGUGUAGGCGAGUGGCUACCCCUAGCCUGGGAACCUCCGUAUGCUGUGGUGUGGCCCUAAAAAGACAAAAGACAAAAAAUUAAAAAAAACUCUUUGACAUAAAUUAUGAAAUAACAGAAUCCGUACACAUGGGUGUAUUAGUCAGUUUUCCAGAGAAACAAAAUAGAUAUCUAUCUCUACAACUAAAGAUACAUAUAGAGAUAUAUACAGUGAGACAGAGAAAGAGAGUGAGGAAAGAGAGACAGAGAUAGAAAAUAGUGUAAGACAUACAGUAUUAGCUCAUGCAGUUACA
rnacentral:lncRNA from 1 species